AUUGAACGCUGGCGGCAUGCCUUACACAUGCAAGUCGAACGGUAACGGGCCUUCGGGUGCCGCCGAGUGGCGAACGGGUGAGUAAUACAUCGGAACGUGCCCGAUCGUGGGGGAUACGAGGCGAAAGCUUUGCUAAUACCGCAUACGAUCUACGGAUGAAAGCAGGGGACCGCAAGGCCUUGCGCGGACGGAGCGGCCGAUGGCAGAUUAGGUAGUUGGUGGGAUAAAAGCUUACCAAGCCGACGAUCUGUAGCUGGUCUGAGAGGAUGAUCAGCCACACUGGGACUGAGACACGGCCCAGACUCCUACGGGAGGCAGCAGUGGGGAAUUUUGGACAAUGGGCGCAAGCCUGAUCCAGCCAUGCCGCGUGCAGGAUGAAGGCCUUCGGGUUGUAAACUGCUUUUGUACGGAACGAAAAGCCUUCUUUUAAUACAGGAGGGUCAUGACGGUACCGUAAGAAUAAGCACCGGCUAACUACGUG
rnacentral:rRNA from 1 species